UGUGGCAAAGAAGCUCUGCAUGGACUUACAAGGAAAAAUCUCUGAUUCACGGUCAGGUGAAAACAGUAAGGUGCAGAGCAGUGUGUCUAGUAUGGGGGUUAGAAGAAUGUGUGUGUGUUUAUGUAUGUAUAUAUAUAUUUAUUCUCACACAUAUAUACGUGUGUGCAGGUAUAAAAUACCACUGGAAGAAUAAAGAAACUGGUGUCUGGCUGCCUGCGGGGUGGGGAGAACCAGGUGGCUGGGGGACAGGAGUGGUAAAGGAAACUCUUUUCCAUACUAUAUCUCAGUUAACAUUUUGAAGUUUGAACUGUAUGGAUGUAAUACCCAUGCAAAAACUAACUUGAAAAUGAGACAACCAUAUACAAAGUCGUAAACUGCAAUUCAAACCUCAGGUGUGUGGGGAUGUUAGAAGAAGGUGGCUUGGAGUGAGGGCUGUGGCUCUUAUUCAUGGCACGAAUUUGGAUGGGGUUGGGAGACCAGUGUUUCUCUCCCACAUGGUUAGGAGAAAUGCCAGCUGAAGGGAGUUGAGGAGAUGCAGGAUGGGGGGAACCCAGGAAGUAGGAACCAGGUAAGAUUGUCUUACAAGGAUCUUGGUAUGGGUCAAUAAUGCUUGCACUAACUUUGCUUCUGUUUUCCUUCAUGGGAACCACGCAGACGCAUGAACCAGAGAGCCAAAAAUGGCAGAAACUCGUGUAGAUGGAUGUUAAUGCUAGAGGAGAAAGUUACCUCAAUGGUUAAAGUCUCGCUGGGAUUUAAGUGACUGCGCUCAAAGGACCCAGAGCCCCAAGGGACUGAAAUCCCCUGGAAAGGCAGUCAAGAAGGAAAGAUGGCUAUGAAGUGGGGAAGCAAGGACGAACCAGGAUCCAGGAGGAAGAGCAAGAAUGAGCUGGAAACGGCCUCCAUCUCACACCCCCUCCAAGCCUCUAACGUCACUGAUUUUCUAAAGAAAGGAACAAGAAAGAGGGAUGGGGGGCUUCCCUGGUGGCGCAGUUGUUGGGAGUCUGCCUGCCAAUGCAGGGUACACGUGUUCGAGCCGUGGUCUGGG